rnacentral:tRNA from 1 species
GUCAGGAUGGCCGAGUGGUCCUGGGCGCCAGACUCAGGUUCUGGUCUCCGUAUGGAGCGUGAGUUCAAAUCCACUUCUGACA